rnacentral:rRNA from 1 species
CUACGGGUCGCUGCAGGCGAGAAAACUUUGCAAUGUGCGAAAGCACGACAAGGUUAAUCCGAGUGGUCUCUGCUAAAGGGACCUUUUGACAGUCCUAGAAACACUGUUGAAUAAGGGGUGGGCAAGUUCUGGUGUCAGCCGCCGCGGUAAAACCAGCACCUCAAGUGGUCAGGAUGAUUAUUGGGCCUAAAGCAUCCGUAGCCCGCUUUGCCAGUUUUCGGUUAAAUCCAUAUGCUCAACAUAUGGGCUGCCGGGAAUACUACAAAGCUAGGGAGUGGGAGAGGUAGACGGUACUCGGUAGGAAGGGGUAAAAUCCUUUGAUCUAUUGAUGACCACCUGUGGCGAAGGCGGUCUACCAGAACACGUCCGACGGUGAGGGAUGAAAGCUGGGGGAGCAAACCGGAUUAGAUACCCCGGUAGUC